GCAACCUUGGAAAUCUCUAAUAUCAGAACUGUAUCGACGGAUCGAUACAUCGUUCAAGGAUGGACGUUGAAGGACAUCGCAGGAAGCGAUUCAUCAGGAUGAUGAAAGGGAAAAAAGGGAUUAGGGAAUAAAUGUGGGCGGGUCAAACCGCCCCUUUUUUU
rnacentral:sRNA from 1 species